rnacentral:pre_miRNA from 1 species
GUAAUACUCCCUCCGUCCCAAAAUUCUUGUCUUAGAUUUGUCUAAAUACGGAUGUAUCUAGUUACAUUUUAGUAUUAGAUACAUCCGUAUCUAGACAAAUCUAAGACAAAAAUUUGGGGACGGAGGGAGUAUAAA